UACAGAGGGGGCAAGCGUUAUUCGGAAUUAUUGGGCGUAAAGGGCGCGUAGGCGGCCUGGCAAGUGGAAGGUGAAAUCCCUCGGCUUAACCGAGGAACUGCCCUCCAAACUGCUUGGCUUGAGUCCGGGAGAGGUGAGUGGAAUUCCCAGUGUAGCGGUGAAAUGCGUAGAUAUCGGGAGGAACACCAGUGGCGAAGGCGACUACCUGGCCUGUUCUUGACGCUGAGGCGCGAAAGCUAGGGGAGCAAACGGG
rnacentral:rRNA from 1 species